CCCUUGUUACACGUGCGAAUGAAAACUCUCUCACAGUUGGAUGUCCCUGGACCCUGGCUGGAGUUCGAUGAUUUCAUUUCUUUGAAUGGAUUAGGGUUUAAUCGUUUGGGGUUUAUGCCUAUUCUAAAAUCUAGUCAUGCAUCAUGAAAGAAGAAGAAGAGAGACCUCUCUGAUACUCUUUUCACUGAUACGAGAGAGCAUUCUCGGAGAAUUUCUGUCUCGAUUCUUACAAUUUGAAUACCCUUCCUCUACUUGCUGUUCGAACUCUUAACAACUCGUUUCUUCUUCGUCAGAACCAACUUCAGAUUCAUCGAAAGGAAACCCGAAUUUCCUACACUCGCUUUGGUGUGCAACGUGGUGCACUGAAUUGGCUACCUAAUUCAAUAGAUGGUAAACUAAUCCCUUGGCUCAUAGUCCUCGAGAGUCCCCCGCCUUUCCUCAACAACAACUGUUUUCCAUGAUCAAAGAAGAGCAAAGAAGCAAGACCAAGGAUGAAAUUAUUGCAAUCUUUAGGAUUCAAUGUUGAUGAAACAGAAGAGGUAUUUUUCUCAUAAUCAUUAUUACCAGAAAAACUCUAGUCAUGAGUAUACACCAUUAACAAAUGAUUUGUAGGAAUACUAUUCUUCAGCCAAGGGGAUGGAAUUCAAUUAAAUUUCUWUUCRUGAUAUUUCUUGGUGUUCAAAUACGUUUACAAUAUAGAACCCAGAAGACAUUUUUCUCAUAACCAUUAUUACCAGGAAAAAGGCGCCUGAAAUUUUAUAAAUCCAACUCAUUUAAGGAAUCAUAUAGAAUCUAAUUCACAUGAGCACAUGUGUGGUUUAGAUGUGGUUUCCAUCUACCUGUUCUAGCUCAUUGCUUAACUCGGUGCAAAGUGCAUCUUGAUGUUGUAGAAUACUCUUGUUGUAGCUUCACUCCUAAAAAAUAAGGAUCCAAGAAGAAGAAGAAGAAGAAAUUUGAAAAAGUAAAAGAUUGAAAAUGGAUUCCACCCUUGAUUGAAACUUGAAGAAGAAAAAGAAGCCACACUGAUGAAAUCAAACAAUUUUAUUGAAAAUGGCUUCCACCCUUGAUUGAAAUUUGAAGGAGAAAAAGAAAUCUAGAAAUCCCUUGUUAACGGUGCCCAAAGAAGAAUAACAAACAGUAAAGAAAAAACCCCUUUUCUUGCAAAACGAUUUCUACCCCUUUACUUAAGAACGAUCUAUUCCUGUAAAUCUCUUGCUAAUGGAGUCUAGCCAUCUAGGGUUUGGCAAGCAAGCCAUUGGUUUGAAUUCCCCAUUUGUUUUGUUUAGCCUCUCUUGUCUAUCAGAUUACACAGUCAAAUUUCCUUUUUUUUCACCUUUUUAUUUUUUAAGUUUCAAAAAAUGAAAUUUAUAGACAAAAUGCCCCAAACUUUCGACGUGUUUGAAUAUGACUACAAGUGCACCACAUCCUACACCAAAGUGAGUUGGGUUCCCAAGGAAGCAAUAAUCAAGGCUAUGGCGAGUCUCGCUGCUGAUAAAUCGGGCUGUGAUUGCGCUUUUGAGUUUUAGUGAAAACCAUGGGAAAAUACAAUAUUUGUCCGAGACUGAGGUCUGUGGUCCUCAAUUAUUUGUUUGUCGUCAAUACUCGGAUGCCGGGAAGGCGUAUGCUGUUGAACAGCACAUGAUUUAAUUAUUUAAAUGUGGAUUCAGUCCGAUGAACUCGAGCUGUCUGCGCUCUUGAAGGUGAGUUCUGAAGCUAGGAGGAACGAGAAAAGUUUGUUUUGUAGUAAUUGGCUUGUGAGGUCGGUACAUCGAAUUGGGAUGUGGAACGUGUUAAAGAGAUAAUGUCUAAGAAUGAUAGCGGCUCUUAGAACUGUCACUCUUGCGGUGGGCAACUGGUUUGUGUCGAUAUUUAUGAACCAAAGAUUGAAAAUUAGCAAUGGAAAGAGAAAUAAGGUCAAAUUUCAGAGGUUUUCAGGAAUCAGAAAAAGGAUCAUGGCAUGUGCCCAUUGAAGGUGAAUGCGGAGAUGAAUCAUUAAGGACUUGACUUUGUUUCAGCAGGUYCAGAUUUUGUGAAUGUUCUGGUGAAAGGUUGAUGAACUUGGAGCUUGAUCAGCCACAAGAUUCUAACAACAGGACAUCAAAGAUGAAUUUUAAAAAAAAUGUUAUAACCAUCAAUUGUUUACAAAGUGUGCCAACAUCAUUUCAGCCAUCAAAUGAUAAAACCAUGGCCACUACAGGUAAACAAACAGUGAGACCACCUCCAGAAAUAAGCCCCUAACCUUGCAGUAUGGCCUUCCCAUGUUUUUCUUGGUCUGCUAGUUGAUUUACCUUCCAUGAGUAGGGACCAUCCAUAGUAAAAUGGUAGGGAUGGAAUUCUUUUUUGGCUUACAGAGGAUAUUCUCCCAA